rnacentral:rRNA from 1 species
UUAUGUGAUCGUCUCUCGCAUAUCAAUAAGCGGAGGAAAAGAAACUAACAAGGAUUCCCCUAGUAACGGCGAGUGAAGCGGGAAGAGCUCAAAUUUGAAAUCUUAAAGGGUUUCCCUUUACGAAUUGUAGUUUAAAGAAGUGUUUUCUGUUGAGGUUUUGGUAAAAGUUCUUUGGAAUAGGACAUCAUAGAGGGUGAGAAUCCCGUAUUUGACCUUUACUUUCAACUUUGUGAUACACUUUCAAAGAGUCGGAUUGUUUGGGAAUGCAGUCCAAAAUGGGUGGUAAAUUUCAUCUAAAGCUAAAUAUUGGCGAGAGACCGAUAGCGAACAAGUACCGUGAGGGAAAGAUGAAAAGAACUUUGAAAAGAGAGUUAAACAGUACGUGAAAUUGUCAAAAGGGAAGCGUUUGACACCAGUGUUGUUUUUCUGAAAAUCAAUUAAAGAACUGUUUAUGCUAAGCUGUUUAGACUUUAUCAGCUAACUGUUUAGUUUUGAGCUUUUCUUUAAUGCACUUUCCAGUUAACAAGUCAACAUCAAUUUCUUUUGCUGUAAAAAAGCUUGAGGAAGGUGGCUUGAGAUUCGUCUUAAGUGUUUAUAGCCUCUUGCCUAUGCAGUCGGAGAGAUUGAGGUCUGCAGCGUAGAUCCUUCGGGGCUAAAUGCAUUUGUGCUAAGUUAUAGCAUUUUAUAGACAACUUGUUGACUAUGAUUUGUCUUGUAGCUUACUCGCUUAUGUUAUUUUACCUACGCUUAGGAUGUUGACACACGCGCGUGCUCG